rnacentral:tRNA from 1 species
GCGGGCGUGCCGAAAGGGUAGCCGGUCGAGUCUUAAAAACUCGUGGGGGAAACCCCGUGCGGGUUCGAAUCCCGCCGCCCGCA